CAAAAAAUAGUUUAUAAAAAUAAUAAUUUUGGGGAUUAUAGAUAAAGGAUAUCCUUUUUUUUUGA
rnacentral:tRNA from 2 species